rnacentral:rRNA from 1 species
ACUCCUACGGGAGGCAGCAGUGGGAAUAUUGCACAAUGGGGGAACCCUGAUGCAGCCAUGCCGCGUGUGUGAAGAAGGCCUUCGGGUUGUAAAGCACUUUCAGCGAGGAGGAAAGGGUGUAAGUUAAUACCUUACAUCUGUGACGUUACUCGCAGAAGAAGCACCGGCUAACUCCGUGCCAGCAGCCGCGGUAAUACGGAGGGUGCGAGCGUUAAUCGGAAUUACUGGGCGUAAAGCGUACGCAGGCGGUUUGUUAAGCGAGAUGUGAAAGCCCCGGGCUCAACCUGGAACUGCAUUUCGAACUGGCAAACUAGAGUGUGAUAGAGGGUGGUAGAAUUUCAGGUGUAGCAGGUGAAAUGCGUAAGAGAUCUGAAGGAAUACCGAUGGCGAAGGCAGCCACCUGGGUCAACACUGACGCUCAUGUACGAAAGCGUGGGGAGCAAACGGGAUUAGAUACCCUGGUAGGCUCUGCU